CACACACACAUACAUAUAUAUUCACACACUCUCUCUCUCUCUCCCUAUCUUUUCUCGCUCGCCCUCCCCCAGUCUGCUGCUCCCCUCACGCGCUCUCCGAGCGAGCACCGCACUCCAAACCGCCCUAAACAAUUCGGAACAAGUUCAAACGGGUCGAGUUAUUUUUGUAGCUUUCUGCGCGGCACGACUGAGGUGAUGCUAGGCAGCCGACCGAGCAGUCCGGGCGGAGAGGAAUAAGGAAAUAUUCUCCCGACAGUGUCUUUACCCCGCAGCCCGGCCGCCCACGCUUCGCUAGCUGAAGUUAAUGCCAGCGCCCACUACAAGACUUUUGCAUUGAUUUUUCAAUCCUAAGCAAACUUGAUCCUACACCUGCACACCCGCUCCACCAGCUGCAUAAUUUUGACCUGUGAAACUGCUGCCGGGAGCCGUCAUUUUAGUGUCAGAUCAAUGAAACCCUCAUUCAGCUCCAGUUUCAGAACCAGCACCCAGCACUCCCUGGAUUGAGCUCAUCAGCGGUCCUGCUCCACAUCUUCAGAUCAUUCUUCACCUCUA